GAUGAACGCUGGCGGCGUGCCUAAUACAUGCAAGUCGAACGAAACUUCUUUAUCACCGAGUGCUUGCACUCACCGAUAAAGAGUUGAGUGGCGAACGGGUGAGUAACCCGUGGGCAACCUGCCCAAAAGAGGGGGAUAACACUUGGAAACAGGUGCUAAUACCGCAUAACCAUAGUUACCGCAUGGUAACUAUGUAAAAGGUGGCUAUACUACCGCUUUUGGAUGGGCCCGCGGCGCAUUAGCUAGUUGGUAGGGUAAAGGCUUACCAAGGCAAUGAUGCGUAGCCGAAUUGAGAGGUUGAUCGGCCACAUUGGGACUGAGACACGGCCCAAACUCCUACGGAAGGCAGCAGUAGGGAAUCUUCCACGAUGGGCGAAAGCCUGAUGGAGCAACGCCGCGUGAGUGAAGAAGGUCUUCGGAUCGUAAAACCCUGUUGUUAGAGAAGAAAGUGCGUGAGAGUAACUGUUCACGUUUCGACGGUAUCUAACCAGAAAGCCACGGCUAACUACGUG
rnacentral:rRNA from 1 species